UGGGGAAUAUUGCACAAUGGGCGAAAGCCUGAUGCAGCGACGCCGCGUGAGGGAUGACGGCCUUCGGGUUGUAAACCUCUUUCAGUAGGGACGAAGCGCAAGUGACGGUACCUGCAGAAGAAGCACCGGCUAACUACGUGCCAGCAGCCGCGGUAAUACGUAGGGUGCGAGCGUUGUCCGGAAUUACUGGGCGUAAAGAGCUCGUAGGCGGUUUGUCACGUCGUCUGUGAAAUCCUAGGGCUUAACCCUGGACGUGCAGGCGAUACGGGCUGACUUGAGUACUACAGGGGAGACUGGAAUUUCUGGUGUAGCGGUGGAAUGCACAGAUAUCAGGAAGAACACCGAUGGCGAAGGCAGGUCUCUGGGUAGUGACUGACGCUGAGGAGCGAAAGCAUGGGUAGCGAACAGG
rnacentral:rRNA from 1 species